GACGAACGCUGGCGGCGUGCUUAACACAUGCAAGUCGAACGGUAAGGCCCUUCGGGGUACACGAGUGGCGAACGGGUGAGUAACACGUGGGUGAUCUGCCCUGCACUUCGGGAUAAGCCUGGGAAACUGGGUCUAAUACCGGAUAGGACCCUGGGAUGCAUGUCCUGGGGUGGAAAGCUUUUGCGGUGUGGGAUGGGCCCGCGGCCUGUCAGCUUGUUGGUGGGGUGAUGGCCUACCAAGGCGACGACGGGUAGCCGGCCUGAGGGGGUGACCGGCCACGCUGGGACUGAGAUACGGCCCAGACUCCUACGGGAGGCAGCAGUGGGGAAUAUUGCACAAUGGGCGCAAGCCUGAUGCAGCGACGCCGCGUGAGGGAUGACGGCCUUCGGGUUGUAAACCUCUUUCAGCACCGACGAAGCGCAAGUGACGGUAGGUGCAGAAGAAGGACCGGCCAACUACGUGCCAGCCGCCGCGGUAA
rnacentral:rRNA from 1 species